AUUGAACGCUGGCGGCAGGCUUAACACAUGCAAGUCGAGCGGGGUGAUGGUGCUUGCACUAUCACUUAGCGGCGGACGGGUGAGUAAUGCUUAGGAAUCUGCCUAUUAGUGGGGGACAACAUCUCGAAAGGGAUGCUAAUACCGCAUACGUCCUACGGGAGAAAGCAGGGGAUCACUUGUGACCUUGCGCUAAUAGAUGAGCCUAAGUCGGAUUAGCUAGUUGGUGGGGUAAAGGCCUACCAAGGCGACGAUCUGUAGCGGGUCUGAGAGGAUGAUCCGCCACACUGGGACUGAUACACGGCCCAGGCUCCUACGGGAGGCAUCAGUGGGGAAUAUUGGACAAUGGGGGGAACCCUGAUCCAGCCAUGCCGCGUGUGUGAAGAAGGCCUUAUGGUUGUAAAGCACUUUAAGCGAGGAGGAGGCUCUUUUGGUUAAUACCCAAGAUGAGUGGACGUUACUCGCAGAAUAAGCACCGGCUAACUCUGUGCCAGCCGCCGCGGAA
rnacentral:rRNA from 1 species